rnacentral:rRNA from 1 species
UGUGUAGGCGGCUUCUUAAGUUUGGUGUGAAAUCUCCCGGCUCAACCGGGAGGGUGCGCCGAAUACUGAGAGGCUAGAGUGCGGGAGAGGAAAGUGGAAUUCCUGGUGUAGCGGUGAAAUGCGUAGAUAUCAGGAGGAACACCGGUGGUGUAGACGGCUUUCUGGACCGUAACUGGCGCUGAAACACGAAAGCGUGGGUAGCAAACAGGAUUAGAUACCCUGGUAGUCCACGCCCUAAACGAUGCAUAUUUGGUGUGGGUCAUUCAGUUGAUCCGUGCCGGAGCUAACGCGUUAAAUAUGCCGCCUGGGGAGUACAGUCGCAAGGCUGAA